GCAGUCGUGGCCGAGUGGUUAAGGCGAUUGACUUGAAAUCCAUUGGGAUAAUCCCGCGUAUGUUCGAAUCCUACCGGCUGCG
rnacentral:tRNA from 1 species